UACAGAGGGUGCAAGCGUUAAUCGGAAUUACUGGGCGUAAAGGGCGCGUAGGUGGUUAGUUAAGUGAGAUGUGAAAUCCCUGGGCUCAACCUGGGAACUGCGUCUUAUACUGGCUAGCUUGAGUACAUGAGAGGGUAGUGGAAUUUCCGGUGUAGCGGUGAAAUGCGUAGAUAUCGGAAGGAACACCAGUGGCGAAGGCGGCUUUUUUGGUCUGUAACUGACGCUGAGGCGCGAAAGCGUGGGGAGCAAACAGG
rnacentral:rRNA from 1 species